GGGGGUGUAGCUUAGCGGUACAGCAUGUGCUUCACAUGUACGAGGCCCUGGAUUCAAUUCCCAGCACUUCCU
rnacentral:tRNA from 1 species